GAUGAACGCUGGCGGCGUGCUUAACACAUGCAAGUCGAACGAAGCACUUUAUUUGAUUUCCUUCGGGACUGAUUAUUUUGUGACUGAGUGGCGGACGGGUGAGUAACGCGUGGGUAGCCUGCCUUGUACAGGGGGAUAACAGUUGGAAACGGCUGCUAAUACCGCAUAAGCGCACGGCAUCGCAUGAUGCAGUGUGAAAAACUCCGGUGGUAUAAGAUGGACCCGCGUUGGAUUAGCUAGUUGGUGAGGUAACGGCCCACCAAGGCGACGAUCCAUAGCCGACCUGAGAGGGUGACCGGCCACAUUGGGACUGAGACACGGCCCAAACUCCUACGGGAGGCAGCAGUGGGGAAUAUUGCACAAUGGGCGAAAGCCUGAUGCAGCGACGCCGCGUGAGCGAAGAAGUAUUUCGGUAUGUAAAGCUCUAUCAGCAGGGAAGAUAAUGACGGUACCUGACUAAGAAGCACCGGCUAAAUACGUG
rnacentral:rRNA from 1 species